UCCCUUGCCGUUUCUCAUAUUCUUGGUCUUUUCUCUUGUUUUUCCCUCAAAGACGUUAUCACCACGAGCUCAUCCACUGACAUUUUUUUUGGGUCAAAUGAAAUCACUGAAUAAGUAUUGGGAUUAACGUGAUAUUGCAAGCACGGUACAUCAAGAGUCUGGCGAGAACAAAGGGAGCCAGCGAGACAUCAGACAUCAUCAGUAGUGGAGAUGUUAAAACCAGUUACUCACGGAUAAAGUGCAGAAACUGAAAUCAAGAAGGGUCUUCAUCAUUAAUCAGUUCUAAAAGGACAAAUUUCAUCUCUAACUCUUUAAUUUUGUUCUAAAUAUUUCAGAUCCAGUGAUUUAAAAUGAUGGUUUUCCAUUAAAAUCCUUAAUCUGUUCUUCAUCAAAACUUGAUUUUCUCCUGGAAAAAAAAUGGUUCAAAAUGAAAUUCGAUAAAAGAUCUGUUGUCAGCCAAACUGAAUUUACAGACCCAUGUACUGAACUUCCGAAAAAGUUGAGCAUUGAGAUUUUUGGUCUGAUAAUUCUUUUGCUUAUCUCUUGUUUGUGUUAGCUGCUCCGGCGAGGUGCAAUUUCAAAGAAGAGGAAUAACUUUAAAAGAAACAAGCGCAUAUAUCUUGAAACUAGAGGAGUUCGUCAUUAAUAAAUCGAGUUUUUGGAAUCUGAAAAGUUUUCUGUUCGCCGAAGGAGAAAGUAAGAGACGACACGUUUCCGGCCGAUCCUGUCCCGUUCCAACACGACCGACCCUGUCCCAUUCUAACCCGGCCGAUCCUGUCCCGUUCUAACCCGGCCGAUCCUGUCCCAUUCCUGGUCGGAUCAUGUUCCGCCCUGUUUUCGUUUUGGAUGUUGGGAUGCACAUGACCGUUUGUUCUGGUUUUGUACAUGCGUUGGGGGAACCGAAGCUUGGUUUUGAAUGUGUACUGUAUAGCGGGAACUUAAGCACAGCUUGAGACUUGAGGUGCAAUGAACUCAUUUGGAGCAAAAUAAGGAAGAAAGCACUCUUUUGGAGCAUAAAGGGCAGAAUCGUCAAUUCACAGGCGAGUUAUAUUUUGAGCCAGCUAGGAUGCGCAAGAAGGAGGUGAAGAACGAACUGUCAGUUACUCAAAACUGACAGUUGAUAAAGGAAUUAGGAUGUCAGUUCUCUGGAACCGACAAGCCUAUAUGAACUGGUCAGCCCUUAUCCAGUGGCCCAAGGUGGCAAUAUAAAGUUCAAUCGUUACAACCACACAAUUGAGGAUGGUUUUCUUCAUUACACUGGAAAUCGAGAAAGAAGAGAGAAGUGAGGAUGGCGGCUCCGGUAGCUGUUGUCCAUUCUAUUAGUGGACUGAAGCUGAGAGGAUGGUCGAGAUUCAGAGGGGUUUCAAGUUCUGUUGUUGCAGAUGGUGUUGUGAAGAAGAUAAUUUAAGGUUGGUUGAGGGUUUUGCUGUAUUUACAAAGCAACAAAGGAAGCUUGCAGUUUGUGGAAGAAUUUAAAGAUCGAUUUAAGGGUUUGAAUCAAAUUCAGAAAGUGAGAAGAGAUCAGUUUGCUCUCUCAAGUUCCACGAUUGCUGUAGAGAGAAACAGAGAAGUUAGGGUUUUGGAUCUGGUGAGUUUGAGAUGAAUGGGAAGAUUUGGAAACUGAAAUCGAGUGGGUUUAACUUGAAUCUGUGAACACAUAAAUCACGAAGCCUCUACGUGUUCACAGACAAUAUUCACAUACAUUUUAAUUCUAAAAUUGUAUGUCGUAUGUGUAAAGGGAAUGAUUAUAUCGAUUCAUCGA